rfam:Solanum lycopersicum cultivar Heinz 1706 chromosome 8, whole genome shotgun sequence.
GCACUAGUGGUCUAGUACUAGAAUAGUACCCUGCCAUGGUACAGACCUGGGUUUGAUUCCCGACUGGUGCA